UUCGCGAAAUUCGCACCGAUGAGAGUGAAGUUACAGGCAUGGACGUGUUUUCGCGCUCGUUAGUGGGGUACAUUCGGACAGCACUAGAUGGGGCACAUUUGAACGAAUUGUACAACUAAAUUUGUAU